rnacentral:rRNA from 1 species
UUCUGGAUGGACCUGCGGUGCAUUAGCUUGUUGGUGGGGUAACGGCCUACCAAGGCGAUGAUGCAUAGCCGAGUUGAGAGACUGAUCGGCCACAAUGGGACUGAGACACGGCCCAUACUCCUACGGGAGGCAGCAGUAGGGAAUCUUCCACAAUGGGCGCAAGCCUGAUGGAGCAACACCGCGUGAGUGAAGAAGGGUUUCGGCUCGUAAAGCUCUGUUGUUAAAGAAGAACACGUAUGAGAGUAACUGUUCAUACGUUGACGGUAUUUAACCAGAAAGUCACGGCUAACUACGUGCCAGCAGCCGCGGUAAUACGUAGGUGGCAAGCGUUAUCCGGAUUUAUUGGGCGUAAAGAGAGUGCAGGCGGUUUUCUAAGUCUGAUGUGAAAGCCUUCGGCUUAACCGGAGAAGUGCAUCGGAAACUGGAUAACUUGAGUGCAGAAGAGGGUAGUGGAACUCCAUGUGUAGCGGUGGAAUGCGUAGAUAUAUGGAAGAACACCAGUGGCGAAGGCGGCUACCUGGUCUGCAACUGACGCUGAGACUCGAAAGCAUGGGUAGCGAACAGGAUUAGAUACCCUGGUAGUCCAUGCCGUAAACGAUGAGUGCUAGGUGUUGGAGGGUCUCCGCCCUUCAGUGCCGGAGCUAACGCAUUAAGCACUCCGCCUGGGGAGUACGACCGCAAGGUUGAAACUCAAAGGAAUUGACGGGGGCCCGCACAAGCGGUGGAGCAUGUGGUUUAAUUCGAAGCUACGCGAAGAACCUUACCAGGUCUUGACAUCUUGCGCCAACCCUAGAGAUAGGGCGUUUCCUUCGGGAACGCAAUGACAGGUGGUGCAUGGUCGUCGUCAGCUCGUGUCGUGAGAUGUUGGGUUAAGUCCCGCAACGAGCGCAACCCUUGUUACUAGUUGCCAGCAUUAAGUUGGGCACUCUAGUGAGACUGCCGGUGACAAACCGGAGGAAGGUGGGGACGACGUCAGAUCAUCAUGCCCCUUAUGACCUGGGCUACACACGUGCUACAAUGGACGGUACAACGAGUCGCGAACUCGCGAGGGCAAGCAAAU